rnacentral:rRNA from 1 species
UACAGAGGUCCCAAGCGUUGUUCGGAUUCAUUGGGCGUAAAGGGUGUGUAGGUGGCGCCGUAAGUCGGGUGUGAAAUUUCGGAGCUUAACUCCGAAACUGCAUUCGAUACUGCGGUGCUUGAGGACUGGAGAGGAGACUGGAAUUCAUGGUGUAGCAGUGAAAUGCGUAGAGACCAUGAGGAAGACCAGUGGCGAAGGCGGGUCUCUGGACAGUUCCUGACACUGAGACACGAAGGCCAGGGGAGCAAACGGG